rnacentral:rRNA from 1 species
GACGAACGCUGGCGGCGUGCCUAAUACAUGCAAGUCGAGCGGACCAAAGGGAGCUUGCUCCUGGAGGUCAGCGGCGAACGGGUGAGUAACACGUGGGCAACCUGCCUGUAAGACUGGGAUAACAUCGAGAAAUCGGUGCUAAUACCGGAUAAUAAAAAGAACUGCAUGGUUCUUUUUUGAAAGAUGGUUUCGGCUAUCACUUACAGAUGGGCCCGCGGCGCAUUAGCUAGUUGGUGAGGUAACGGCUCACCAAGGCAACGAUGCGUAGCCGACCUGAGAGGGUGAUCGGCCACACUGGGACUGAGACACGGCCCAGACUCCUACGGGAGGCAGCAGUAGGGAAUCUUCCGCAAUGGACGAAAGUCUGACGGAGCAACGCCGCGUGAGUGAUGAAGGUUUUCGGAUCGUAAAACUCUGUUGUUAGGGAAGAACAAGUGCCGUUCGAAAGGGCGGCACCUUGACGGUACCUAACGAGAAAGCCACGGCUAACUACGUAGCCAGCAGCCGCGGUAAAG